ensembl:lncRNA
UGUAUUGCUCUGACCUGUUUGUGUGACGCUUAUAUCUGAACUCCUCUGAUUAAUUGGGUGCAUCCAGGCCAUGUCUGCGGGCGUGUAUGUGUAGCGCUCCUGAGAGCCUGCCAGCUGCUGCUUUGCUGUGGCUUAAAUUCCAGCUGUUCCAGUUGGGACGUGGUAUUGCUGCUUGCGCGCUUUGCUGUACUCUUGACUUCAAACUUUUGUACUCAUCGUUACGCUGGUGGUUCAUCCCUUGUUUGCGCUAUAAGCUAGGGACCUUUGUAUAGCCUACCUGAACUACUUAUGCACCUGUUGUGUUGUUUGUUUUGAGUUAUUUUAGUUGAUUGAGUGUGCAUGUAGGUGUUUGUUCAUGUUUGAGUUGUAUGUUAGAUAUUUUGGGUUUCCUUUUCUCUUUUGUGGUUAUUUUAGUCGUUUGAUUUGGGUUUAGGUGUUUGUUAAUUUUGCAUUGGGUUAUGUAUCAUCUUGUCUUGCU